AGCAAAUUUAAACCUUGGCUACUCCUCUCCUCUCCCCGUUUUUGCCUCAUUUGCUAUGAACAACAGCUAAAUAUAGAUGCAGAGAAUGUAACCGCUGCUAACACUGCCCUUUUGCCACUUCAUGUGCACGCCGCUGUUUUGAUAUGGGCUUAGCCAAAUGACGGCGAGGGGGGAAGACAUCCUUUCUGUGAUCGAGGACCAGAGGUAAACAAUUAAUGAUAGAUUAAAAGAGUGGUGGGCUCUCACAAGCUCCUCUGCAGAGAGGGAGCUUACGAAAAGAGAUGGAGAGAGAAGAGAGAGAGGUAGAGAGAAAGACAGCGAGGGAGAAGGAGAGAGAAUGUGUCUUCUGAUUAGUAUGUCCAUACAUUUACAUAGAUAAUGGGGCAAUUAUGGACUAAUCGAUAAACUUUUAUCACAAGCUGCUGAAUCUGCCGAUAGCCAAAACAAAUAAAUACUCCAUUUCCUCGAUUUUGAUACUUAGGCUGUGAAGGCGCCUUAAUGUGCUUUAUUGAUAUUUACCAGAGAACCGACUCUGCACACAUAAAACAAUGAGCGCAGCACCAAGGCAACCCUGCAGGGAUUGCGUUUUCAAUGCAUUUUUCAGUGAGAGUAUUAAGAACCACACGCCCUGAAAUAUCUCAUUCUCAGAGACAGAUUCAUCAUGUUAAAAGUAGCCGGUUAACUUGAUAUGUGUCUCAGGGAGAACUGAGACUAAAUGGCAAAUUAUUGGACAGAAAUGGAGUUGGUUACCAUCGCUUAAGGCAUCAGCUGAAGUCUUUGUUCCUUUAGCCAUGUUCAUCUUACCUAAUCUUUUGCUUUCCGUGGGAGGCUGGUCCAAGAGGAUAACCAAAAGGGAAAUGGUAGUAUUAGUAUUGCUGCUCCACACCUUCCCUUUGCUUGGACACAGGUAUUGCAUGUCUCCUUUUAUAAGCUUUCUUUUUGGACUUUUCUAGCCUUCAUUUGACAAUGGACAGGAGAGAGAAGAUACAACAGGACAACAAUGAGUGGGAGAGAGAGAGAUGGGGCGUGGGCUGGAGAGAUGACUCCUGGGUACUGGACCUACGCUACCUCUGCGCUACGGCUACACCCGUGGGGCCGUCUCUUAAGUUUAGAUUGGAUAUGAUCUAAUGAUCAGAUAGUUUGCUCAGGCACAGCAACUCAAAGAAAGAAUUGGAUCUGUGGAAAUGAAACAUGUAUCACGUCACCAUAACAUGUGUUUGACAUGACCUCCACUCCCAUACAAACGUGCGCACAAACACACACACAAACACACACACACACACACACACACACACACACACACACACACACACACACACACAUAUAUAUACACUCGCACUACCCCAGCUCUUUGCAAUCUCCUUCCAGGCGCUACCAAGGAGUAUUUGUGUCUGUAACAAUGUCAUUACAACAGCUGACAAAGAAUAACAUGUUCCUAGGGCACAUUGGUGUGGCUGUUAUGGUGGUGUUUUGUGUGUGUAUGUGUUUGUGUGUGUGUGUGUGUGUGUGUGGUUGUGUGUAUGUGUGUGUGUUUGGGAGGGGUAAUGAUGGGAGAAGCUUUCCUUUCAUACUGAUUGCCGCAGACUCAGGGUAAUGGAACAUUAGAGCCCUUCCACAAAUCUCUUUCCGUGUGCGCGCGAAGGGCCGGCGAAUGACUGGUUGCUUCGUCUCCACUUUGCAGAGAUUUCAGAUGUAUAUGUUGCCCCUCUAUGGUACAUUGCUAUUUAAUGACCCUUACUCCUCAAAGUUGUGCAAUCUAUCGUGGCACACACAUGCUGUGUUGGCAAGUGGAUUGUAUGAAUAGGUUUCACCUCCAUUUUUUCCCCUUUGUGCUUGGACCUUUCUGUACAGCUAAGCUGUAGCAAAUGACUGUUAGGCUGUUCUGUGUCUGCAUAGAAUACAUAAAAGCUAUACAUAAAAUUAUCUGCAGUGAGAGGCAAUCUCAGGGGAAAAUAGUGAACUGACAUACCAGCAUUGUGAUAAGGGCAACUCUCUCUCUCGCUUUCGCUCACACACACACACACACACACACACACACACACACACACACACACAAUCACAUACUCAUACACACACACACGUUAACAGUUGCAGUAAAAUCUUCAGAUGCUACUGACCUUGAGUGUUAAAAUUGCAGUCAGACAAAAAGCGCAGUGACACCCAGGCACUUUGCAGCUGGAUUGCAGGCCUGCCAGUAAGCAUUGUUCUCUAAGCACAGUCAGUGAUGGAUUGUCUGUUGACAGAAAGCAUCCACUCCUCAUCAAAGAGAACCAGACAAACAGGUCCUAACUGGCAGCCAAAGAGGCAUUUACCCUCCACCAAGAUUUGGAAACAGGAAAUCAAUGUUUCACUGCUUCUUGCUAUCAGGGCAGCUCAGUAGACAUCUCACCACCAUCCCAUCCACACCAGGCCCUCUGUGGUCCUGCUGGAUGGGCACAUUUGACGGGUUGAAUCCCAUCUGGGUGUCAGCGUUGACCCCCUGGCUCUGCUCCUGGAAGAAAAUGAGCGUUCUGCUCCCAGUGAACACAGUAAUGAUUUGGUUUCAUUGCGGUAAUGCAGGCCCACACUGCCAAGUCACAUUUCCAACGAGUCCAAUGUCCCUUACGUAACGGCUAAUGUUGUUGUUUUGUUGACUGUUGUCCAAUUUGACUUUGAUCGGGCCACCAAGUGCGAUUCCAAAUCUCGAGUAGGCACUUUCAAGUGUAUGGAAAAUUUCUGCAUGAAAAGCU
ensembl:lncRNA